GGGUGCGUAGCGCAGCUGGAUAGAGCAUUGGCCUUCUAAGCCAAGGGUCGCAGGUUCGAAUCCUGCCGCACCUGCCA
rnacentral:tRNA from 1 species